rnacentral:rRNA from 1 species
GAUGAACGCUGGCGGCGUGCCUAAUACAUGCAAGUCGAGCGAACAGACGAGGAGCUUGCUCCUCUGACGUUAGCGGCGGACGGGUGAGUAACACGUGGAUAACCUACCUAUAAGACUGGGAUAACUUCGGGAAACCGGAGCUAAUACCGGAUAACAUGUUGAACCGCAUGGUUCAACAGUGAAAGACGGUUUUGCUGUCACUUAUAGAUGGAUCCGCGUCGCAUUAGCUAGUUGGUAAGGUAACGGCUUACCAAGGCAACGAUGCGUAGCCGACCUGAGAGGGUGAUCGGCCACACUGGAACUGGGACACGGUCCAGACUCCUACGGGAGGCAGCAGUAGGGAAUCUUCCGCAAUGGGCGAAAGCCUGACGGAGCAACGCCGCGUGAGUGAAGAAGGUCUUCGGAUCGUAAAACUCUGUUAUUAGGGAAGAACAAAUGUGUAAGUAACUAUGCACGUCUUGACGGUACCUAAUCAGAAAGCCACGGCUAACUACGUG